rnacentral:tRNA from 1 species
AGCAGUGUAGUCUGGUGGACAGGGCCCUAGGCUGUGAGUCAAGCAACCUGGGUUCUAUUCCCAGCUUUGCUA